rnacentral:rRNA from 1 species
UUUAUGGAGAGUUUGAUCCUGGCUCAGAGUGAACGCUGGCGGCGUGCCUAAUACAUGCAAGUCGAACGAUGAAGCUUCUAGCUUGCUAGAAGUGGAUUAGUGGCGCACGGGUGAGUAACACAUAGGUCAUGUGCCUCUUAGUUUGGGAUAGCCAUUGGAAACGAUGAUUAAUACCAGAUACUCCCUACGGGGGAAAGAUUUAUCGCUAAGAGAUCAGCCUAUGUCCUAUCAGCUUGUUGGUAAGGUAAUGGCUUACCAAGGCUAUGACGGGUAUCCGGCCUGAGAGGGUGAACGGACACACUGGAACUGAGACACGGUCCAGACUCCUACGGGAGGCAGCAGUAGGGAAUAUUGCUCAAUGGGGGAAACCCUGAAGCAGCAACGCCGCGUGGAGGAUGAAGGUUUUAGGAUUGUAAACUCCUUUUGUUAGAGAAGAUAAUGACGGUAUCUAACGAAUAAGCACCGGCUAACUCCGUGCCAGCAGCCGCGGUAAUACGGAGGGUGCAAGCGUUACUCGGAAUCACUGGGCGUAAAGAGCGCGUAGGCGGGAUAGUCAGUCAGGUGUGAAAUCCUAUGGCUUAACCAUAGAACUGCAUUUGAAACUACUAUUCUAGAGUGUGGGAGAGGUAGGUGGAAUUCUUGGUGUAGGGGUAAAAUCCGUAGAGAUCAAGAGGAAUACUCAUUGCGAAGGCGACCUGCUGGAACAUUACUGACGCUGAUUGCGCGAAAGCGUGGGGAGCAAACAGGAUUAGAUACCCUGGUAGUCCACGCCCUAAACGAUGGAUGCUAGUUGUUGGAGGGCUUAGUCUCUCCAGUAAUGCAGCUAACGCAUUAAGCAUCCCGCCUGGGGAGUACGGUCGCAAGAUUAAAACUCAAAGGAAUAGACGGGGACCCGCACAAGCGGUGGAGCAUGUGGUUUAAUUCGAAGAUACACGAAGAACCUUACCUAGGCUUGACAUUGAGAGAAUCCGCUAGAAAUAGUGGAGUGUCUAGCUUGCUAGACCUUGAAAACAGGUGCUGCACGGCUGUCGUCAGCUCGUGUCGUGAGAUGUUGGGUUAAGUCCCGCAACGAGCGCAACCCCCUUUCUUAGUUGCUAACAGGUCAUGCUGAGAACUCUAAGGAUACUGCCUCCGUAAGGAGGAGGAAGGUGGGGACGACGUCAAGUCAUCAUGGCCCUUACGCCUAGGGCUACACACGUGCUACAAUGGGGUGCACAAAGAGAAGCAAUACUGCGAAGUGGAGCCAAUCUUCAAAACGCCUCUCAGUUCGGAUUGUAGGCUGCAACUCGCCUGCAUGAAGCUGGAAUCGCUAGUAAUCGCAAAUCAGCCAUGUUGCGGUGAAUACGUUCCCGGGUCUUGUACUCACCGCCCGUCACACCAUGGGAGUUGUGUUUGCCUUAAGUCAGGAUGCUAAAUUGGCUACUGCCCACGGCACACACAGCGACUGGGGUGAAGUCGUAACAAGGUAACCGUAGGUGAACCUGCGGUUGGAUCACCUCCUUUCUAGA